rnacentral:rRNA from 1 species
AGAGUUUGAUCCUGGCUCAGGACGAACGCUGGCGGCGUGCUUAACACAUGCAAGUCGAACGAUGAACCUGGAGCUUGCUCUAGGGAAUUAGUGGCGAACGGGUGAGUAACACGUGAGUAACCUGCCCUUGACUCUGGGAUAACCUCCGGAAACGGAAGCUAAUACCGGAUAUGACGCACGGAGGCAUCUCCUGUGCGUGGAAAGAACUUCGGUCAAGGAUGGACUCGCGGCCUAUCAGGUAGUUGGUGAGGUAACGGCUCACCAAGCCUACGACGGGUAGCCGGCCUGAGAGGGUGACCGGCCACACUGGGACUGAGACACGGCCCAGACUCCUACGGGAGGCAGCAGUGGGGAAUAUUGCACAAUGGGCGCAAGCCUGAUGCAGCAACGCCGCGUGAGGGACGGCGGCCUUCGGGUUGUAAACCUCUUUUAGUAGGGAAGAAGCGAAAGUGACGGUACCUGCAGAA